rnacentral:rRNA from 1 species
UACGAAGGGGGAGCUAGGCGUUGCUCGGAAUCACUGGGCGUAAAGCGCACGUAGGCGGAUUGUUAAGUCAGGGGUGAAAUCCUGGAGCUCAACUCCAGAACUGCCUUUGAUACUGGCGAUCUCGAGUCCGGGAGAGGUGAGUGGAACUGCGAGUGUAGAGGUGAAAUUCGUAGAUAUUCGCAAGAACACCAGUGGCGAAGGCGGCUCACUGGCCCGGUACUGACGCUGAGGUGCGAAAGCGUGGGGAGCAAACAGG